rnacentral:sRNA from 1 species
UUGCAACCCUAGAGAGACUGAAAUCCUCUUUUUAUUCAUGGAACAGGUGCAGCCUCGGCAGUAGCAGUGCAAGCUGCCUCAUGCCCUCCCAUCAGAAUGCUUCAGCCCUGACAUGGGAAGAUCACCCCUCAGACAGCUCCACCUCAGUGCACCUACACUCCUUGUCUUCU